rnacentral:rRNA from 1 species
AUGAAUCUUAUAGCCUGGAACUGUCGAGGAUUGGGGUUGGACUCGACGGUAGGCGAACUUAGAGACCUGAUACGGUCCUACAACCCAGCGGUGGUGUUUUUAUGUGAAACAAAAAAGAAGGCUAGUGCAAUGGAGAGACUCAAGUGGAGACUAGGGUUUUGGAGUGGGGUUGCUGUUGAUUGUCAGGGUUUAAGUGGUGGACUUGCACAGAAUAUUACAGUUACUAUUCGACCAUGGUGCCAGUAUUUUAUUGAUGCGGAAAUAACAGUGGAUGGCAAGACUUGUAGAUUCACUGGUUUCUACGGCGAGCCAAAAACUGAAUUACGGAAAAAAUCCUAG